rnacentral:rRNA from 1 species
UGGCUUAGAAGCAGCCACCAUUUAAAGAGUGCGUAAUAGCUCACUAGUCGAGUGACGCUGCGCCGAAAAUGUACCGGGGCUAAGCAUAGUACCGAAACUGUGGAUGCAUAUAUUAUAUGCGUGGUAGGAGAGCGUUCUAAGUGCGGCGAAGUUAGAUCGAGAGGACUAAUGGAGCGCUUAGAAGUGAGAAUGCCGGUAUGAGUAGCGAAAGAUAGGUGAGAAUCCUAUCCGCCGAAAGACUAAGGUUUCCUGGGGCAGGCUCGUCCGCCCAGGGUAAGUCGGGACCUAAGGUAAGGCCGAGAGGCGUAGCCGAUGGACAACAGGUAGAAAUUCCUGUACUGAAAUUGUUCGAUAUGAGCAAAGGAGGGACGCAGGAGGCUAAUGACGCAUGUUGCUGGAAAUACAUGUGCAAGCAGUAAGAAAAAAGAUGAGUCAAAUGCUUGUCUUUAGAUUUCAAGCUGUGAUGCGGAGCGAAAUAAAAGUAGCGAAGGUCAUGAUGUCACACUGCCAAGAAAAGCUUCUAGCCAGAACAAUUUUACCCGUACCGCAAACCGACACAGGUAGUCGAGUGGAGAACACUCAGGUGAGCGAGAGAACUCUCGUUAAGGAACUCGGCAAAAUGACCCCGUAACUUCGGGAGAAGGGGUGCUGAUAGUAAAAUAUCAGCCGCAGUGAAUAGGCCCAAACAACUGUUUAUCAAAAACACAGGUAUCUGCAAAAUCGUAAGAUGACGUAUAGGUGCUGACACCUGCCCGGUGCUGGAAGGUUAAGAGGAGAGCUUAGCGCAAGCGAAGGUUUGAAUUGAAGCCCCAGUAAACGGCGGCCGUAACUAUAACGGUCCUAAGGUAGCGAAAUUCCUUGUCGGGUAAGUUCCGACCUGCACGAAAGGUGUAAUGAUUUGGGCACUGUCUCAACGAGAGACUCGGUGAAAUUAUAAUACCCGUGAAGAUGCGGGUUACCCGCGACAGGACGGAAAGACCCCAUGGAGCUUUACUGUAGCUUGAUAUUGAGUAUUUGUUAAACAUGUACAGGAUAGGUAGGAGCCAGAGAAAGUAGGACGCUAGUCUUACCGGAGGCAAUGUUGGGAUACUACCCUUGUUUGAUGGAUCCUCUAACUCACAGAGCUGAGCGUUCUGGAGGACAGUGUCAGGUGGGCAGUUUGACUGGGGCGGUCGCCUCCUAAAGUGUAACGGAGGCGCCCAAAGGUUCCCUCAGAAUGGUUGGAAAUCAUUCGCAGAGUGUAAAGGUAUAAGGGAGCUUGACUGCGAGAGCUACAACUCGAGCAGGGACGAAAGUCGGGCUUAGUGAUCUGGUGGUACUGCAUGGAAAGGCCAUCACUCAACGGAUAAAAGCUACCCUGGGGAUAACAGGCUUAUCUCCCCCAAGAGUUCACAUCGACGGGGAGGUUUGGCACCUCGAUGUCGGCUCGUCGCAUCCUGGGGCUGAAGUCGGUCCCAAGGGUUGGGCUGUUCGCCCAUUAAAGCGGCACGCGAGCUGGGUUCAGAACGUCGUGAGACAGUUCGGUCCCUAUCCGUCGUGGGCGUAGGAAAUUUGAGAGGAGCUGUCCUUAGUACGAGAGGACCGGGAUGGACAUACCGCUGGUGUACCAGUUGUCUUGCCAAAGGCAUCGCUGGGUAGCUAUGUAUGGAAGGGAUAAGCGCUGAAAGCAUCUAAGUGCGAAGCCCCCCUCAAGAUGAGAUUUCCGAUGCGAAAGCAGUAAGACACCUUAAAGACGAUGAGGUAGAUAGGCUAGGAGUGGAAGCAUAGCGAUAUGUGGAGCGGACUAGUACUAAUCAGUCGAGCACUUGACCAA